AGUCGGCGCAUUCGCGUCUUGGCUCCCACGUCACUGUUGACAGUCAUAACUUUGAAGUCGUAGAUAAUUUCGUAUACCUGGGAACCAGUAUCAACAACACCAACAAUGUCAGCCUCGAAAUCCAGCGCAGAAUCACUCUUGCCAACAGGUGCUUCUUUGGACUGAGUAGGCAAUUGAAAAGUAAAGUCCUCUCUCGACGAACCAAAAUCAAACUCUACAAGUCGCUUAUUAUUCUCGUCCUGCUUUAGAAUGAAGAAGCGUGGACGAUGUCAACACUCGAUGAGACGAGUAGUAGUAGUAGUUUUCGAGAGGAAAAUUUUGCGUAAGAUCUAUCGUCCUCAGAACACAGCGAAUGAAAAGACAGCGACUAGGCUGGCUAGGUCAGGGCACGCUCUUGUCGAUUCGGCUAUAACCUGCUAAACAGUUUCAACGCCAAUUACAUAUAUACAAACAAACAAGAUCAAGAUUGCAUUAUUUAAGAGACUCUUACUCACGUUUACAAUUUGCUCAGAAGAAAUGUUUACGAGUUAGCUAUUGUUAUGUUAUGUUAUUGUAUUGAGAAACACUGAUUUACAUACAUACAUACAUAUGUACAGUACAGUAUAAUUUAUGUGAACAUAUGCAAGUGAUUCGUUUUAUAUACAUGGCGUAUAUGGCAGCGUGAAAUAAGUAAUGGAAAGUUUUAAUUGCGAUUAUUGGAUAGCCAGCAGAACACACUGAGAUAUCGGAAAAGUUUUACGUUCAAGAUUUUACGUAAUAUGUACACAUAAAUGUAAUAUGUCAUAAUAAUAGGGAGUGGCUCGUUAUGACAGUGUGUGGCUUUCUAAUAACUUAAAAGAAUUUGCAACAUACCGUAAGUAUUUAUAUGAGGCAAAUGAUCAGUAUAACGAGACAAGUAAGUUGGCAUUGUAAAUGGGCACUCUUACGUUCUUAUAACGUUAUUCGAAAAGUAAAGUACAUAGUAGGCUUUCCUCAUCUCCGGAAUUCUACAUGUCAUUUGAAGUCUAUGUGCUUUCAAUAUACAGAAUUCAGUUCGUUCAGUAAAUUUUGAACACAUGUUUGCAAAUGAGAGAGACCGAACGUGAACACUAUCCGUAUUUAAAAAGCAUCUAAUAAAUAAUAUUGAAUGUAUUUCGUAAGGCUCCCUUACACAAUGUGUAUAUCGAUCGCAGUUAUGGAAUCAACAAACUUGUCGCAAUUAAUCACACACACAUAUACAUAUUUAAUUGGUUUUAAGCGCAAACAGACAGAUUGAAAUUAAAUGGAAAUUUUAUUUACACGUAAAACGCGCAAGAGCUUUUGAGAGCUUUUGGAAGGUUUUGAUGACGUCCUCUGUUGGAAAAAACUGAUACGCUAAUGUAACUAUGCACAUUUAGAUCUUUGAGGAGAAAGUUGGGGAUUGAAAACUAUGUUACGAAAGUCAUGUAGCCAUUAUCUAAAUAUGAUGCUUAAGUGGUAGCGAAAGAGGCACUGUCAACUAUCGACAUUGUCGGCUGCAACAACAGGGUCGUGUGCGCAGCAUUUUCAAGCCUGGAAAAUGAAGGAAAGCAAAUGGAUCUAGUAGUGAACGAGAGUAAAACGAAGUACCUUCUGCAAAGAACCUCAGCGAUAAGGAGACCAAGUCACUGUUGGCGAGUAUAUCUUCGAGGUAAUAAAAAAGUCUAUCUAGGUUCCAGCAUACACACCACACUAAAUGAAAUUGCGUCGAUAUAUGUUUUCAAACAUACUUUCUAAUGCCAAUUUAUGAUAAUUAGUUUUCCUAUAUUAUACUUCAAACCCUUAUAAAAAAUUCACAACGGAUACAAAUUAUAUCAUAUU